UACGUAGGUGACCAGCGUUGUCCGGAUUUACUGGGCGUAAAGAGCGCGCAGGCGGUCGUUCAAGUCGAGUGUGAAAGCCCCCGGCUCAACUGGGGAGGGUCACUCGAUACUGAUCGACUUGAAGGCAGGAGAGGGAAGCGGAAUUCCCGGUGUAGUGGUGAAAUGCGUAGAUAUCGGGAGGAACACCAGUGGCGAAGGCGGCUUCCUGGCCUGUUCUUGACGCUGAGGCGCGAAAGCGAGGGGAGCAAACGGG
rnacentral:rRNA from 1 species